UCAAACUUGGUCAUUUAGAGGAAGUAAAAGUCGUAACAAGGUCUCCGUUGGUGAACCAGCGGAGGGAUCAUUAUAGAGUUUUUUUACAACUCCCAACCCUUUGUGAACUUACCAUAUUGUUGCCUCGGCAGUGCCGCAGCUUCUCUCGAAGUUGCCUGUGUAGUGCCUGCCGAAGGUCCCAAUUUAAAAACUCGUUUUUAUUAGAAAAUUCUGAAUUUUAAAACUAAAUAAGUUAAAACUUUCAACAACGGAUCUCUUGGUUCUGGCAUCGAUGAAGAACGCAGC
rnacentral:misc_RNA from 1 species